GCCCUCAUAGCUCAGCUGGCAGAGCACACCCUUGGUAAGGGUGAGGUCACGGGUUCAAAUCUCGUUGAGGGCUC
rnacentral:tRNA from 2 species